UACGUAGGGGGCUAGCGUUGUCCGGAUUUAUUGGGCGUAAAGAGCGUGUAGGCGGCCAUGUAGGUCCGGUGUGAAAACUCGAGGCUUAACCUCGAGAUGUCAUCGGAAACCAUUUGGCUAGAGUCCGGAAGAGGAGAGCGGAAUUCCUGGUGUAGCGGUGAAAUGCGCAGAUAUCAGGAAGAACACCAAUGGCGAAAGCAGCUCUCUGGGACGGUACUGACGCUGAGACGCGAAAGCGUGGGGAGCGAACAGG
rnacentral:rRNA from 1 species